GAAAUGCGAUAAGUAGUGUGAAUUGCAGAAUUCAGUGAAUCAUCGAAUCUUUGAACGCACAUUGCGCCCUUUGGGAUUCCAAAGGGCAUGCCUGUUCGAGCGGCAUUCGUACCCUCAAGCUUUGCUUGGGGUCGGGCGUCUUGUCUCUAGCUUUGCUGGAUACUCGCCUUAAAGUAAUUGGCAGCCGGCCUACUGGUUUCGGAGCGCAGCACAAGUCGCACUCUCUAUCAGCAAAGGUCUAGCAUCCAGUAAGCCUUUUUUUUCAACUUUUGACCUCGGAUCAGGUAGGACUACCCGCUGAACUUAA
rnacentral:misc_RNA from 1 species